GGAGACAGAUCGCGUGUGGCGUGCGGCGAGAACGGUCGCGACGCGAAAUUUCUCUCGUUCGGCACUUUGACGAGCAAAAUUCGCGUGCGAUUCAAUACCUUUGGAUAUUCGAUCGAUAUUUUCGGUGAAUUAACGAACGAUGGAACGGCACGACGCGUUAUUUAGCCGCUGCUCUUGGUAAAUGAACGUUUAUUCGAUUUUUUAUCGUACGUGUCGAUUUUGUACGCGUGGUUUAAAAAUACAAAAUAUAUUUGGAAAUUACCAAGGCACGUGUAACGCUAUAUUUAGAUCAAACAAGGAAUAACUUUGCGUGUUUGCGUUUGAAAAAACGAUGGAAAACAAGGGAGGAACGGGUGUUAACCCGUGUUUCAUUCAUGCUCGUUAAUAAACCAACCAAUCUGGUAUUAUGUGUCGAUGAAUGAUUGAAAGUCUUAAUAUUUAUACGACGAGCAACGUUACUCAACUUGAAAGUACUCUUGCAAUACUAUUUGCAAUCAGUCGCUCAGACGAAUGGCCUCGUUCUUAAUUCAUUUUAUCCGUAUUUUGAUAAUAAAUAAUACAGCACGACGGAACGAGAAGAGGCAAAUAAGAAAAUAGGAAAUAAGAAUAAAUUGCUCGAAAAGUUGAAUGAAUAA